rnacentral:lncRNA from 1 species
UUGCUGUCAAGCCGCCAUUUCGUGGGCAGAAGACCCGUAUUGAAGACUGUCAAGAUUACUUUAGCUAUGCCUAUGAGAGUGCGACAGCAGUUAUCAAAAAUACAACUGCAAGAUAGAGCAGAGCAGAGUGCAGCAACAUUUCUGAGGGACAGAAGCACAAGUGUCACAGCUGAGCAGAGCUGCAGCAGGAACAAUCUCCAGCUCUCAGUGCUGCCUUCUCUGCCACUUCUUGACAGCGAGAGAGCCUGUCCAACAGCAAGGAACGCUCCAACGGCUCAACACUGCUCCUCGUGCAGCACACCAACGCCUGUGACUUGCUCUGUGCACUGCGCUGAUGGCAGAACAAGCUCAGCUGAGGUGGAGAUGUUCCGCAGUCCGACACAAAUCUCCCGCCAUUCUCUCAAACAAAAGAGCGUGACACAGAACUCCUCCCACUUGCCCACACCUUCUCCGAUAGGAUUGGCUGCCUGAACCAGCACACACCUCUGGCUCAAUCAAUGGUCUACUGAACAAAAUGUUCGUCCCCUUGCGUUCACUGGGAGCCGACAUUUUGUGUCAGAUGCCAUUUUAUGACGGGGACCAUGUGCAGAGCUGUCAUAUUACUUCUAGGCUAACUUAUGGGAGUGCACCGGCACUUAUCAAAGACACACCUGAAAGAUAAAACACAGCAGUGCAGCAACAUUUCUGAGAAAUAUUAGUCGAAAUGUCACAGCGCAGCAGAGAUGCAGCAGGCACGAUCUCCAUCUCCCAGUUGGUUGGACUUCUGACUUCCCUGCCACUGCCUGACAGCGAGAAAGCCCGUCCAACAGCAAGUAACACUCCAACAGCUCAACACUGCUCCUCCUGCAGCACACCAAAGCCCGUGACUUGCUCUGUGCACUGUGCUGCUGGUAAAACCAGCUCAGCUGAGCAGGAGAUGUUUCUCAGUCCCACAUGAUUCUCCCGCCAGACUUUCAAACAAAGCAGCGUGACCCAGAACUCCUCCCUCCUGCCCACACCUACUCUGCUGGCAUUGGCUGAAAGAACCAGCCCACACCUCUGGCUCUCUCAAUGGUCCACUGAAGAAAAUGUCCGUUCCCUUUCGUGCACUGGGAGUCAGCAUUUUGUGUCAGCCGCCAUUUCAUGGCAGGGACCACGUGCAGCACUGUCAAAUCACUUCUAGGCUAACAUAAGGGCAUUCUUCAGAUGUUCUUCACCUCCAGCUCCCAGUGCUGACUUUCCUGCCGCUGACUGACAGUGAGAAAUGCCGUCCAACAGCAAGUAACACUCCAACAGUUCAAAACUGCUCCUCCUCCAGCACACCAAGGCUUGUAACCUGCUCUGUGGACGGGGCUGCUGGCAGAACAAGCUCAGAUGAGGAGGAAUUGUUCCUCAGUCCCACACGAAUCACCCGCCAGUCAUACAAAAGAAGCAGCGUGACCCAGAACUCCUCCCUCCUGCCCACACCUACUCUGCUGGCAUUGGCUGACAG